rnacentral:lncRNA from 1 species
AUGAUUUAUUUCCUUCAAACCUUCCACCAGGAGGAUGCUACUUCUCUUUUCUAUUCUUUUACAGAUUACUUUCCCCAGGAAUGCUUGCUGUCAGCAGUUAAGGGACAGAGGGAAGGUGACGAAGGUAAUCCUACUACGGCACUAAGACUCAUUCAGUCUAUUUGGCGACUAUUCCCACUGCACAGCUACUGCUGUAAGGAAGGAAUUCGGUUUAAAGCUUGUUUUGUUGCGGGGAAUCUGGUUUGA